UACGUAGGUGGCAAGCGUUGUCCGGAAUUAUUGGGCGUAAAGCGCGCGCAGGCGGUCUCUUAAGUCUGAUGUGAAAGCCCACGGCUCAACCGUGGAGGGUCAUUGGAAACUGGGGGACUUGAGUACAGAAGAGGAAAGCGGAAUUCCACGUGUAGCGGUGAAAUGCGUAGAGAUGUGGAGGAACACCGAUGGCGAAGGCAGUUCUCUGGGCCGUAACUGACGCUGAGGAGCGAAAGCGUGGGGAGCAAACAGG
rnacentral:rRNA from 1 species